rnacentral:rRNA from 1 species
UGGACUUGGAUGUUUGCCGUGUAACAAACGGUCAUCUGAAUGCCUGAGUGUCCCCUGCUUUGCGGCGUAUUCGGUGUGAUAAAUCUUCACCGGAGUUGACUUUCGGGUCGCGUCUGCUUAACAUGGCUCUAUGCUUCCAACCGUCCUAACAAGACAAUCUUUGACAAUUUGACCUCAAAUCGGGUGGGACUACCCGCUGAACUUAAGCAUAUCAAUAAGCGGAGGAAAAGAAACUAACAGGGAUUCCCCUAGUAACGGCGAGUGAAGAGGGAAAAGCUCAAAUUUUGAAUCUGGUGUCUUUGACUCCCGAGUUGUAAUCUAGAGAAGUGUUUUCCGCGUUGGACCGUGUACAAGUUCCCUGGAACGGGGCGUCAUAGAGGGUGAGAAUCCCGUAUAUGCCACGGACUACCAAUGCUCUGUGAUACACUCUCAACGAGUCGAGUUGUUUGGGAAUGCAGCUCAAAAUGGGUGGUAAAUUCCAUCUAAAGCUAAAUAUUGGCGAGAGACCGAUAGCGAACAAGUACCGUGAGGGAAAGAUGAAAACCACUUUGGAAAGAGAGUGAAACAGUACGUGAAAUUGUUGAAAGGGAAGCGUUUGAAGUCAGUCAUAUCUGUCGGGAUUCAGCCUGGCUUCUGCCUGGUGUAUUUUCCGUCCGAUGGGUCAGCAUCAAUUUCGACCGAGGGAAAAAGACGUGAGGAAUGUGGCUGUCUUCGGGCAGNGUUAUAGACCNGCGUUGUAUGUCUCGGUNGGGAGUGAGGUACGCAGCGCGCCUAUUGGCCGGGGGUUCGCGCCCCUCGGUACGCGC